GAUGAAGAACGUAGCGAAAUGCGAUACGUAAUGUGAAUUGCAAAUUCAGUGAAUCAUCGAGUCUUUGAACGCACAUUGCGCCCCCUGGUAUUCCGGGGGGCAUGCCUGUCCGAGCGUCAUUGCUGCCCUCAAGCACGGCUUGUGUGUUGGGCCCCGUCCUCCGAUCCCGGGGGACGGGCCCGAAAGGCAGCGGCGGCACCGCGUCCGGUCCUCGAGCGUAUGGGGCUUUGUCACCCGCUCUGUAGGCCCGGCCGGCGCUUGCCGAUCAACCCAAAUUUUUUAUCCAGGUUGACCUCGGAUCAGGUAGGGAUACCCGCUGAACUUAAGCAUGUCAAUAAGCGGAGGA
rnacentral:misc_RNA from 1 species